GAUGAACGCUAGCUACAGGCUUAACACAUGCAAGUCGAGGGGAAACGAUAGAGAAGGCUUGCUUUUUCUAGGCGUCGACCGGCGCACGGGUGAGUAACGCGUAUCCAAACUGCCCACCACUUGGGAAUAACCUUGCGAAAGUAAGACUAAUACCCAAUGAUAUCUCUAGAAGACAUCUGAAGGAGAUUAAAGAUUUAACGUUGAUGGAGGGGGGUGCGUCUGAAUAGCUUGUUGGCGGGGUAACGGCCCACCAAGGCGACGAUCAGUAGGGGUUCUGAGAGGAAGGUCCGCCACAUUGGAACUGAGACACGGUCCAAACUCCUACGGGAGGCAGCAGUGAGGAAUAUUGGUCAAUGGGCGAGAGCCUGAACCAGCCAAGUAGCGUGCAGGAUGACGGCCCUAUGGGUUGUAAACUGCUUUUAUAAGGGAAUAAAGUGAGCCUCGUGAGGCUUUUUGCAUGUACCUUAUGAAUAAGGACCGGCUAACUCCGUGCCAGCAGCCGCCGUAA
rnacentral:rRNA from 1 species